CCCGCUCUAGUUCAACGGUAGAACGGUCGGCUGUAGCCCGACAGGUUCCUGGUUCAAAUCCAGGGGGCGGGA
rnacentral:tRNA from 1 species